ensembl:lncRNA
CAGGAGCCCAGGGUCCCCUAGGGACAUGGCAAGGCUGCAGGGGCCAGGCUGGUGGGGAGAGUCGAACCUCAGAUGACCUCCCAGGGCGGGACGUGGCUCUCUGGCUACCAGCUGCAUCUGCACCCUCUCGGCACAGCACACGAUUCACACACAUCAGCCAAGGGAACAGAUAGGACAGGAGGGCAAGACCCCGAGCAUCAGCAUUAUGGUGACCUAAGUCACAGGCGUGCACCUGGAGGCCGGGGGGACUGGGGAUCCCGAUUGGAGCGGGCCUAGGGCGGAGCCUGGAGGAACUCCUACACCUGCGGGUUGCCAAGUGCCAGGCUGGCUGUGGCCUUGACUCCUGGCAACAUGAGCUUGGCACACCCCUCCCUGAGCACGGGCUUCUCUGUCCGAACAGUGAUGAAUGAGCGAGGGAGGCUCUCCAGGCCUCCAAAGGGAGGUGGCCCCUCGAGGGGUUGAGAGGACAGUGCCUGGGGAGUCACACGCUCUGGCCUGAGUGGGCGAACUCAGGGGAGUGAUCUUCCUCUUUGAACCUCAACUUCCUCAUCUGUAAAAUGGGACAACAGCACCGUCGCAGGCGAUGGCCCUGAGCAUCAGCCAAGUGCGUUGGAACCAAACGCAUCCUAUCUCUGAAGUGCGCCUGCAUAGAGAUUUGCAGUGAAUACCGUGAAUCUACACACAAGUACGAAUUCAACUGCGGAUGUGAUCGAUAAAACAUCAUCUGCCGUGUCGUUCAAGGGUGUGAGAAGACAGUAAAGAGUGUAGCCCCGAGGUCCUUCACACGUGGUGUCUGUCGUGUUACCUAGAAACAACGCUUCUGGAGCUCAGAGCAUCACUGCGUCCAGCCUGGGUUUCUCGGUCCUAAUCGGGAUGGUGGCGUGUCCACAGAAAGUGGCUGCUGCCUGGCCCGCGCAUGCGCAUGGGUCCCCAGAGGCAGAACCGAGAACGCAGCUGUAGGACUCGAUGCCAUUUCUGAGUCCUGACCUCGUGCCACGAGCUUUGUGCCAGGGACCUGACAAUUGCAGCCCCAUCGCCAGCCCAGGAGGCUGGGUCGAAGCAGUUUCCACUUUACCCUGAGGUACUGAGUCUCCAAGACGGCACACCACCUCCCUGCGGUCCUCCGACUGUGACCGGGAAGGCGGAAACACAAGCAACACAAAUCAGGAAGCUCAGGAGCAGCCGGCCUGGCCCCUUCGAUGAUCCUUAGGACGGAGUCACGUGGAGCAGCGCCUCCAGGCCCGGUGCAGCCCGCUCUGCACUGGCUUCUGCAGCAACGCAGCGCUCCUGGGCACGGUUCCCGAAUCUGGGCUGGCCCGCAAAGGAUUCGUCAUUGGCUGUGAUGGGAUAUGAAGCCGCCGCAGAGUGGUCCUCCGCGCCGAGGCUAAGCACAGCCUCUGGAAGCGAGCCUUUCUCAGUGAAGAGAAUGGCAGCUGCGGGCAGCCCCCCGAGUAGCACCAAGGCCUGAGACGCUCUGCUCACUUCUUGGCGUGUGUAGCCCUGCGGGUCUGUUUAUUUGUGGGCCCUGAGGUUGUCCUUCCUGGCUCCCAGAUCCCGUCUCCGCUCUGGCCAGAGGGGCGCAGAGCCACCUCUGGGGCUCGCUCUGGGACAAGGUGGAGCAGAACCUUGGGUUUUCCUGCAGGGCUGAGGGGCCGACAGCCAUCCUGACCGCCUAAUCCACACCGCCCAACGUGGUGGCCGUGCACACGUGUGGCGGUCAAGUACCUGGGCUGUGGCCGGUCCAAACUGAGGUGCGCCGUAAGCCUGGAACACCCAUGAGCUUUUAAAGACAGUCCCCCUCCUACCCCAAAAGAAGCUAAAAGAUCCCAUUAACUUUGUGUCAGUUACAUGCUGAGGUGACAGUAUUUUGGGUCUGUUGGAUUAACUAAGAUAUAUUACUAAAUAAACUUCACCCAUUUCUUUUUGCAUUUAACGUGGCUGCUAAAAUAUUUGAAAUUGCACACAUGGCUUGCAUUGCCUUUCUGGCAGACAGCGCUGCUCUAAAUCACCCUGGAGGCCUCAGGGAAGGUGCCCCCCCAACCCCACCCCUGACGGUGAGCAGCCGGGAGAGGAGGGCACGGCAGGA